rnacentral:rRNA from 1 species
GAUGAACGCUGGCGGCGUGCCUAAUACAUGCAAGUCGAGCGAACAGACGAGGAGCUUGCUCCUUCGACGUUAGCGGCGGACGGGUGAGUAACACGUAGGUAACCUACCUAUAAGACUGGGAUAACUUCGGGAAACCGGAGCUAAUACCGGAUAAUAUUUCGAACCGCAUGGUUCGAUAGUGAAAGAUGGCUUUGCUAUCACUUAUAGAUGGACCUGCGCCGUAUUAGCUAGUUGGUAAGGUAACGGCUUACCAAGGCAACGAUACGUAGCCGACCUGAGAGGGUGAUCGGCCACACUGGAACUGAGACACGGUCCAGACUCCUACGGGAGGCAGCAGUAGGGAAUCUUCCGCAAUGGGCGAAAGCCUGACGGAGCAACGCUGCGUGAGUGAUGAAGGUCUUCGGAUCGUAAAACUCUGUUAUUAGGGAAGAACAAACGUGUAAGUAACUGUGCACGUCUUGACGGUACCUAAUCAGAAAGCCACGGCUAACUACGUG